CAUCGCUGCAUGGCUUGGGACUGUGCACACGCACACACAACUCUGCAAGUGCCAUGGAAACAGAGCAUCCUGCAUCCUCAGCAGAGGACUGCCUUCCAGCUCCUCUCCUCCCAGACCCACAAUGGGCAAAGCCUGUAGGUUUUCCUCCUUUGGUCGCUCAUCACCCAUGUGAGCUUGGAGCAAACCUAGUCUCUUGGGUCCCCAUGGUCCUGAUUGGAAUUAAUCUCACUAUUGGCCUGAUUCAGGGCAUCUUGGAUGGAGGGAAACAUAUAUUUUUAGGGGAUGCUUUGUUUGGAGAUGUUUUAACAACAGGGAUAGGGUGGUAUGUGGGAGCAUCACCACUGUGCCAUGCUCAGCCAUCCCUCCUCCUCGGGGUACCGCACGCGGUUUCACUGCCCGACCCCAUAAUGUGACGAUGCCACCAAGAUCCAUGCUUAUGAUCUCAUCAUCAGGCUACAUUUAGGGCGAUGGAGGUGAUUUGUAGCCCUGCUCCUGGGAGGUGUGUGGCUGGGAAUGAGCUGCAGAUCCCGGAAAAAUGGUCCUGGAAAAAAUACAGGUCUGCUGGUCCUUUUUAUAGCCUAGGCAAUUGAAUGAGCUCAUCGCUUAGCCGAGACAUUUAGAAAGGAUUUUCCCCUCAGAAUCCUGAUUAGAUUUCCCACUGAAACGCCCACUUGGACUGCUGCUGCUAGGAGAUGCGUUGGGUUGCUGCUCAAGGAGGCAUCCGGCAUAAAAAUAAACCCAGGAAAGAAGCUGAAAGCUACAGGGACGUGAAGAAGACUUUUUGCUGUGUGAAACCCACCGUUUUGCAUGGGCAUGGGUGGAUGGCUGUGCUGCCUGGGGCCAUUCGCCAAGCUGGGACUUGACAGAGAGCAGGGAAAAUGAAGGAAAGAGAGGAAUUUCCAACAUCACGUCGAACCAACGCAAGCAGAUUGGGAAGGGGUUGGCCAUGGGCAGGGGGGGGGCUAAAAAUGGCACAGCACUGCAGGUGGAUGUGGCUGGCACCUUGGAUCCCUGCUCCACCACUGUCCCAUCCCUGUCCCUUUCUGGUGCCCGACCUUGGGGAUGGAUGCGCAUGGGUUAUCCGGGGGCAUCGCUGCAGCGAUGGCGCUGCUUCACUCCCCCAGUAUUCCAGGAGGGUUCAGGGCUGCAGGUUUGAGUUGCUGUGUUUACAUCGGACUGCAGGCAGAGGGAGGAAGGAGGGGACACAGGGAGCUGACGUGCUCAGAAUAAACCCAUGCCACCUCCUCCUCCGCCUCGCAGCAAAAAAAAAAAAAACCUGAACGCAUCUGCCUCCCCCACCCCACGCCGCCAUUCCCAUACCCAAAGUGUCCACCCCGGGGAGGAGGGGCCACCUCGCAGCUCAUCCCAGGGGCAAAGGCCUCAGAGAAACCCCGGCCUGAUUUAUUCUGGGCACCGUAAUAAUUAUGGGAAUUAAUAUUAGUAAGAGCUCCCCUUCUUUGGCAGCUCCUGGUGCGACCCCAGCGUGGUCCCAGGCCUUUGGGUUGGAGCUCACGGUGUCUCUUUAUCCUAGCCCUUUUGCAAGGGAUAAAUGGGUUAUUUUCUGCAGGGAUGGGAGGUUAUUUUGAUAGCAUUUCCCUCUCCCAUACUCAGUAAUGGAAAUGCGGCUCGGCUGGCUCACUGGCAGCAGAGGGGUGAGGCCGUCUGCAGAGAUGCUCAGUGUGCAGAGAAUGAAGGGAAAGGACCCCAAAUGGAAGGGAUUCCACAUAGAAGGGAUCCCAAAUGGAAAGGUCUCCAGAUAGAAGAGACUCCAAAUGGAAGGGACCCCAAACGGGAGGGAUCCCGAAUAGAAGGGACCCCAAAUGGAAGGGAUCGCAAAUGAAGGGACCCCAAAUGUGAGGGCCUCCAAAUAGAAGAGGCUCCAAGUGGAAGGGACCCCAAAUGGAAGAGACCCCAAAUCUCUUCUAUUCUCCCUGUUAUUCCUUAAACAGGAGCUUGGGUUCUCUUGGAGGUCGAGGGUGAGCUCUCGUAGCAUUACCAAGCAGGCGGCUGUGGGCUGCCUAAUUUUUAUUAGGGUUUUUAUUUUGGGGUGGCUUUUGGUAUUUAUUUGCCCCCCAUCUGGACCUUGGUGGGGAAACCAAGGCUGGAAAGAGAAGAGCGAGAAACCUCCGUGAACAAAGGAGAGGAUGCGGGAACCCGCAGCAAGAAGAGCUUUAUUGGCACGGCGCAACCCGAUGGGAUCCUUGCGGCAUCCACAGCGCACCCGGUAGGUCUGUCCCCAAAUACCUGCAGCACCCCUGGGGGGGUGCAAGGAGCUGUCCCAGGGACCCCGAGCCAUCAUCUCUGCUCCCAUCCCAGAGGCAAGAGUCUGCUCACGGAGCUGCAAAGAGAUCUGGGGGCCCCAGGCCAUGGGGUGAGAAAGAGGAACCUCCAGUAAGGGUUGGCUUUGGCCAGUGCUGGGCUCCUGCUGGGAACACUGGGCCAGCUGUGGGCGAGGGCAGUGGAUGGGCUCCAGCUGCAAAGAGAGGGGAUGGGAAAGAGGAUGGGAAGAAGAAGGGCGGGAGAGGAAAUGGAAGAAGGGAAUGGAAGGAGAAUGGAAAAGGGAUGGGAAAAAGGAAUGGGGAGAAGAGACGGGAAAUGGAAUUGGACAGGGGAUGGGAAAGGGAUGGGAGAAGGAUGGGAAAAGGAAUGGGUUAAAGGAAUGGGGGAAAGAGAUGAGAAGGGAUGGGAGAAGGAAUGGGAGAAUGAUGAGAAAAGGGAUGGGGAAAAGGAAGGGAAAAGGAUGGGAAAAGAGGAUGGAGAAAAAGAUAGGAGAAAGAGAUGGGGGAAAGGGAAUGGAGAAGAGAUGGGAAAGGGGAUGGGAAAAUGGGUAGGAGAAACAGCUUGGGAGAAAAGGACGGGAAAGAGGAUAGGAGAAGGGAUGAGAGAAGGGCCCCAGCGGGAUGCAGGGUAGGCGAUGGGCUAUCAGGCACCUGUCUGCCUAUAAGAGGAGGAAAAAAAAGGGUGGAGGGGGGAAAAAAAGGGAUAAAAAAGGAGGAAGAAUAUAAGAAGGUGGGGUGGUGGUGGAGCAGCGCGGGGCUGCAGGGGCUCUGCGGGGGCACCGCUCGGCGUUAGGCCGCGGGGUCGCGGCCCCCUCCACCUCCCUCCCCUCUGCAGUUUCUUGAAUUUUCUUUUAUUUCAUUUUAUUUUAUUGCAUUUUCUGAAUAAUUCAGGUGCUGCCACCCCCUCCUCUCCCCCAGCCCUCCCCUCCGCCGCCGCUCGCACACGCCUCUGUGUUAGGGGUAUAAUGAGGCAGCCGAUGGGUAAUUGGGAUCUUUUGUAGGGAGGAUGUAUGGCCGGGGCAGCUGCUGGGGGGUGAAGGGGGGGGGGGGGGCAUCUGCGGGAGUGGGGGGGACGCAUUACCAUACAAAGGGAACAAAUGACAUGUUUAUCCCUCCAAGAGAUUUACGCCCGGCCUCGCCCUGCAGACACAGCGCUCCCCCCAUCUGCAUCCCCGACACUUUUGAUUUAAAUUAUAAGGAUUAAAGGAAGGGGGGGUAGGGGGGGAGGCGGGGGAGAGGCGCAUAAACAGCCACCGGAAAAAUAGCGGUAAUCAGAAGGAAGGGUUAAAGUGGGGAAAUGGUAAUAAAAAAGUGGCUUUGCUUUGCCCAACCUCCUUCCAUCUGGAGGGGGAGCGCUGACCCCAGGAGCUGCCCUUGGUUUUAGGAGGGGGGGAAUAACGAGGCAUUAUUAAAAGAAGGGGGAAAAAUAUAUAUAUAUGAAAAAUGGGGGAAAUGGGGAUGAAAGGAGAAAAGGAGAAAAAAAAAAAAGGAGAAAUGGGUAGAAGAAAAGGAAUGAAUGGGCAGAAAAAGGGGAGAAAAGGGUGGCAAAAAAAAAAAAAAAAAGGAGAAAAGGGCAAUGAAAAAAAUGAAGAGGAAAGGGGGGGAAAGGGAGAAAAGGGCAAAAUAAAAAAAGGAGAAAAAGGCAAACCAGUAAUAAUAAUAAAAAAAGCUCAAAGCACAAAGCGGCGGCUCCAGCCCAGCCCCGGGGCUCCCCCGUGGGUCACCCCCGAGUGACAGCUCUGCGGGAAGGGCCCCCCCGGGGACCUCCUUCACCCCCCCCUCCCCUCUCCUCUAUCCCAAAGCUCUCCCUCCCCCCCCCCCCAGCCCACCGCUCUCACCCCC
ensembl:lncRNA